rnacentral:lncRNA from 1 species
ACAACUAUAUAAAUACCAAACUCGUAAUUAAAGUAUUCAUAAACAAAUCAUAGAAUUAAAAGUAUUACUACAUACACAAUAUGGGUAGAGCAGAACCAAUUAAGGAUGUGAAUGACUCAGAAGUGAAAUUUGCUGCAGGGCAAGCAGUUAAAAUCCAUAACGAUCAAAAACACGAUACAUUGGUUUUCAUUCGUGUAGUGAAUGGUCUGAAGCAGGAAGUUGAUACUGCCAAGCUGUAUUCUCUUCUGAUAGAAGCUACAAAUGGUGAUGGAACUCAUUGGGGAUAUAUCGCUAAGAUUAAGUUGUGGCCUAAGGCCCCAAGUCAUUAUGAUCCAUAUUCCCAUACCUUUGAGCUCAUAUCUUGGGAAGAUCCCCUCAAAUUCUGGAACUAAGUAUUCCAAUGUUAUCUUUUUACAUCUUUACAUCUUUACAUCUUUACAUCAUAAUAAUAUGUCCUUCUCUAUAUAUAGAGAGAGGGCAUUAUUGUCUUCCAACUACUAUAUGAAAAUGGUAUAGCCUUGAUUAAAUAGUGAUACACAUAAUCUAUUUCUAUAUAGUAUAUGUGUGUCCAUAUAUAUAUGUUUAACUUUUUCUCUUCUCUCUCCCAUCUAUGUUCUAUGUAUGUAAAGAGUUUAAAUAAGACUAAAUCAUUAAAUAGUCAAUUUUACUUUAUAAUUUGUCGUUUACUGUUUUAAACUGAUUAUUUCGUUU